UACGUAGGGCGCAAGCGUUGUCCGGAAUUAUUGGGCGUAAAGAGCUCGUAGGUGGUGUGUCGCGUCUGCCGUGAAAGCCCGGGGCUUAACUCCGGGUCUGCGGUGGAUACGGGCAGACUAGAGGCAGGUAGGGGAGACUGGAAUUCCUGGUGUAGCGGUGAAAUGCGCAGAUAUCAGGAGGAACACCGGUGGCGAAGGCGGGUCUCUGGGCCGAUACUGACGCUGAGGAGCGAAAGCGUGGGGAGCGAACAGG
rnacentral:rRNA from 1 species